AUCGGCUGUUUCUAUUGGACUUGCUAGAUCACCAACCCCAGCAUGGACCAAUCUCUCAUUCCAGCUUCUAGAGAAUCUCGGAUAACUGAUUGGCGGUUUCAUGUGAUCUAAACUCCAGGUUUCUAAAUUUGCAUGGCAGACUUUAUGAGAAUUCAUGUCCUUUCAAGUAAGUCAACAAGGUCACUUGUUUACUAACCUGUUGGCUGCUACCCUUGAAUCUCCCUUUUUACUCUCUAAAGCGGGCCAUCUUAAUUUGAGGGUAAUCCUUCGCUACUUUUCAUGGACUUCAUCCACUGGUGAAAACCGACGAG